UGAGAAUCACAGUCACACCUGGCAUGAUCACUGAGGCUCUGUCAUGGCUGCCCUGAAAAUUUGAAAGAUGCUGCCUCCUGAAGACGCAUGAGAUAGUACGGCCUGCACCGUACUGGAACUAAUUCAUUCCAACUAAACUCUGUUCUUCCCUUUUGUAAAGUUCAAACUUCCCCAAUUGUCUUUGAAGCUCACUCUGCGUGAAUCAAAAUGAAAAAAAAAAAAAAAAGACAA